AUUGAACGCUGGCGGAAUGCUUUACACAUGCAAGUCGAACGGUAGAGGGGGCAACCCCUCGAGAGUGGCGAACGGGUGAGUAAUAUAUCGGAACGUGCCCAGUCGUGGGGGAUAACGUAGCGAAAGUUACGCUAAUACCGCAUACGAUCUAAGGAUGAAAGCGGGGGAUCGCAAGACCUCGCGCGAUUGGACCGGCCGAUAUCAGAUUAGGUAGUUGGUGGGGUAAAGGCCCACCAAGCCAACGAUCUGUAGCUGGUCUGAGAGGACGACCAGCCACACUGGAACUGAGACACGGUCCAGACUCCUACGGGAGGCAGCAGUGGGGAAUUUUGGACAAUGGACGCAAGUCUGAUCCAGCCAUUCCGCGUGCAGGAUGAAGGCCCUCGGGUUGUAAACUGCUUUUGUACGGAACGAAAAGGUCUCUCUUAAUACGGGGGACUCAUGACGGUACCGUAAGAAUAAGCACCGGCUAACUACGUGCCAGCCGCCGCAGUAA
rnacentral:rRNA from 1 species